ensembl:lincRNA
CCCACAGGGAGGGAAAGUGCUGAGUCACUCUGGCGGGGCGCGAUGGCUCGGGGCGGGGCUCGGACCAGAACCCCCUCCUCUCUCCUCCUCUUGCACCCCCGGCCCUCUCUGACUCUCGCGAGAGCCCUACAGGCUAUAAAGGCAGCGCCCCGCGCACGUCUCACGCGUCUUCUUCCUGCCUUGUCUUCGGAGCUUUUGUUCGUAGAGCGGCCAAUAGCAAGAUGUCUUCAGGAAAUGCCAAAAUUGGGCAUCCUGCCCCCAACUUCAAAGCCACGGCUGUUAUGCCAGAUGGCCAGUUCAAAGACCUCAGCCUAUCUGACUACAAAGGUAAGAGUAAUAACCGUAGGUUAGUAAAAAUGGAAUUUUUACAAUCUAGGAUGGCUCAUUAGAUUCUGUAUCUCAGUUAGACUUGAUUGUAAAAUGAUUUAUAUAUCCUACGUAGGUCACAGUCUUAGGGUAGGAGCCUGUGCCUUCCUGAUGAAGUAGUGAUUACCAACUGUGGUCACUGAUAGAUACUCUAGAGUCAGACUGCUUAUGGAAAAAGCCCAUACUUCAUUAUGCCUGGACAUACAAUCUUAAUUUAUUUCUUAGAACUUCUCAAUUAUAUUACUGUUCUGGGGUAUUCUUGUUGUGUCAUUGAAAGCUCAAGCCUUUGGAGCAUAAAGUGUUCAAGUUUAUGAAACCUCUAUGUCUGAGCUGCUGUAUCAUUAGGCAGAGGCUUAGGCACAUUCCCUUGACACUUAGCCCCAGGAGAAGAGUUGAUGUUGCAUUUGGGACAGUUCUCUUUCCUGUUAAAGUUUAAUGCAGACACUUGGUCAGUUCUGAUGGAGGUAUUCCUUUGUUUUUGCAGUCCUGGAACAGCAGGGGUAUUUUGGGGUAGUUGGUAUAUGGAGAUUCCUUGAAAUGCAAACCUGAAUCUCGGGUGUAAAGUAUACCUUUUUUACUGGUGUAGUAAUUAGUUCCUGGACUCAGCUUUUGGGUAGAACAUGUGACUAAGGUUUCCUAACACAUCACACUUGUUUGGAAUGAGAAGCAGUUAAGAGGGGCCCUAUGGAGGGAAGCUAAUGGCAAACAAGGUAGCACCACAGGGAGGUGACCCUGGCCCAAGGGUAAAGGCACGAGGUUUAGAAGGAGCUGUUCUUUGUCCUCUAGGGCUUGACCUGCUGAGGCUUCAUGGUGCUUGUUAGGUAAAGCCCUGGAGAGGUUUAGAUGAGUGAGUUGCUAGUGAUUCUGGUUUUCAGAGUAAAUGUCAAAAGGAGCAGCUUAUUCUGACUUGCUGCCUGGAAACCAGUGAAUAUUUGGAACUCCUUCAAAAUACUCAGCCUAUUAGUUGUGGUGAGUGGCUGCUUGGCUGGUUGAAGAUCUACUUCCACUGGUAAUCUGAGUAACUUCAGCAAAAUUUAAACUAGAGAUCCUUUUAUACCUUACUAGGACUUUGGGAACUUUGCCUCAAGAAAUUUUUCUUUUCCAGUUAGGCUUGUUAGGAACAGGUUUAUGGUGAUUUAUUUAUUUAUUUAUUAAAAGAUUUUAUUUAUUUUUAUGACAGAGACAGAUCACAAGUAGGCAGAGAGGCAGGCAGAGAGAGAGGGAAGCAGGCUCCCCGUUGAGGAGAGAGCCCGAUGUGGGACUCAAUCCCAGGACCCUGAGAUCAUGACCCAAGCCGAAGGCAGCGGCUUAACCCACUGAGCCAUCCAGGUGCCCCGGUUUAUGGUGAUUUAGAUGAUGACUUAAACCUUGUGUCCACAGUUCCUGUGGUUCAUUGUGGAAGAAGUGCUAAAAGCCCCGGUUUCUUCUUUUUUGGUCUGAAUGACUUGCAGCACAGACUUAAAGCAAUUGAGCUCUUUCUGAUUACUAGUAGGUAAUCUCAUCCUAGGUUUUGGCUUUCCUUUAUUGGAGAACUUGGUGUUUACUAAUUUUAACUAUCUAGAGAUAAAAAUCAUACUGAACAGUGUUCAUCUUACAAUUGACAGCUAAUGGGGAGGCAGGAAAAUAAAGCUUAAAACAUGCAGGUUUUCCUACCACAAGAAGUUCCAGAAUUAGCUGCUAGGAAACCUUUGAGUUGCGUCUAGGCAUUUGGCAGUUUGCCUACCAUCGACUGCCUUCGGCUCAGGUCAUGAUCCUGGAGUCCUGGGAUCGAGUCCCGCAUUGGGCUCCCGGCUCCACGGGGAGUCUGCUUCUCUCUCUGAACUUCUCCUCGCUCGUGCUCUCUCUCACUGUCUCUCAAAUAAAUAAAUAAAAUAAAAAAAGAUUUUAUUUAUUUGAAAAAGAGAGGGAGAUAGAGCAAAAAUAGGAGGAGAGGGAGAGAGACUCUCCACUGAGGAGGGAGCCCGAUUUGGGAUAGAUUCAGGACCUUGGGAUCAUGAUCUGAGCCGAAGGCAGAAACUUAACUUACUGAGUCCAACCCAGGCAACCGUGGUCUUGAGUUUUGUUUUUGUGUUUUUUUUAAGAUCUUAAGUUUUUAAUUUUUAAAAAAUAUUUUAUUAUUUGACAGAGAUUACAAGUAGACGGAAUAGCAAGCAGAGAGAAGGGGGGAAGCAGGCUCCCCGCUGAGCAGCGGGCCGGAUCCCAGGACCCCGAGACCAUGACCUGACCUGAAGGCAGAGGCCCAACCCACUGAGCUACUUACGCGCCCCUUAACUUUUUAACUUCUUAUUAUUUAUUUAUUUAUUUAUUUAUUUUUAAAUUUUAUUUAUUUAUCAGAGGGGGGGGGUAGAGAGCGAGCACAGGCAGACAGAAUGGCAGGCN